rnacentral:tRNA from 1 species
GCUGUCGUAGCUCAGUGGUAGAGCACCUCAUUGGUAAUGAGGAGGUCGAGAGUUCGAACCUCUCCGUCAGCACCA